rnacentral:rRNA from 1 species
UACGGAGGGGGCUAGCGUUGUUCGGAAUUACUGGGCGUAAAGGGCGCGUAGGCGGGCUGUCAAGUCUGGGGUGAAACUCCCACGGCUUAACCGUGGAACUGCCUUAGAUACUGACGGCCUCGAGGGAGAUAGGGGCGAGCGGAACUGUGAGUGGAGCGGUGAAAUGCGUUGAUAUUCGCAGGAACACCAGUCGGCGAAGGCGGCUUACUGGUCCAUAACUGACGCUGAGGUGCGAAAGCGUGGGGAGCAAACAGG